GGGGCAUUAGCUCAGCUGGGAGAGCGCAACACUGGCAGUGUUGAGGUCAGCGGUUCGAGCCCGCUAUGCUCCACCA
rnacentral:tRNA from 4 species